GCCACUGCCAGCAAUCCCUACAUAUAAAAACACAUCGUUUAUGUUGUACAGCCGUCGUUGUCUGAAGCUCCUACGAUAUUGACGGUGUGUAUAAUCUAAUUUUGCAGCUUCUUUCGAAUCCGUCCAUAAGAAAUGGAGAAAUCUUCAACUCCAAAAAGCCAAGAUUCCAGCCCCUCGAGCAACACAAAUCAGUCGGAGGUUUCAGCAAUUACAGUGCAACUGCAAGAAGUACAACCAUUCCAGCAGAAUUCAGGUACACAUGAAGAUGGAGACUCAAACUACCAGAAACGGCUGCAAGAAACACUAAAGCGGGCAGUAGAUCUUCUUCACCGACUUCAGCGAAGGGAAGAAAAGUGAAGUCAUGGUGAUACUUUUUGCAUCAUUGCAUGCAGCUACAAUCGUUCGUUGAUUAGUGACUAAAGAAAAGGAUAAUUAGAUGUUGCUUUGGAUAUUUUACUUUAAGGAGGUUGCUUUUUUAAAUUACUGUUGGAAGAUCGUGGAUUUAUGGGUUUUCUUGGAAAACAAUUUCCCGUAAUCUCUCAAACAGGUAGGAAAAUUUUCUAGUAAUUUUUCAUUUAAGAGCUUGAAUAAAGAACCUCUUGGAGAUGCUCUAA